UUCUAAUGCUGCUAUGCAUUGCUCCGGUGGACCGUACCUCGGAAGGAAGCCAAAUUUAACACUCGUGAUGUCAGAACAUCAGCCUUGGCCACGAAAGAUGGAGAUGUGGACCACAGAUACACAAACAUGGAUAGACAGGAUGGAUAUGUGCAACGGCUUCACAUGUCAAAGGGCAGCUCCGGGCAGCUUUGCACCUGAAUGAUGCUUUUGUUCCCUAAGGUGUCUGUGAUAUCAGUUAUUGAGAUGCCUCGCUCUUCAAUUGCGUCUGAAGACUGGUGAUGAAACAGAUCCGGUUGCCAUCCUUGAAGAAGCCUCAAAAUCCAGGAAAAACACUGAAAUCUGUUCCACACGCAUCAAUUUCCCAUGUGGCAUUCCUGUACACUGAAAUGGACACCCUCUACAACUUAUGAAUACGGAGCACAGCGUGCACUGAAAACACUUCUGUGGAAGGGCACCUUAAAAAUGAGGAUUUUUUUGUUUCUCGCAAAAGCGAUAUUGUGUAGACCUGUGCAAGUCCAUGCGUAUGUCUUAGAGAUCCAUACUAAUGUGGACCCAUGAUGGGUGCCCCAUGAUGACAAAGAUGCCUUAUUCUGAGGCCAGUCUGCAGCCAGUGUCAUCUAAAUCUUCGCUCUUUUUCACCUUGUCUUUCCUUUUCCUGUGACUACCACUGUUCCUUGCAGGCUCCUCCCCUUUUUUUUUCCAUCUUUCAAUUUGUCUUCUAAAAUUGGCUGCAGAUAGCUUUUGAAAAGAAAAAAACUGAUGUCUGAGGGCUUGUGACAGUGGAACCCAAUGGCUGUGCGCAUCGGCUUGUUUAAUGCCUCAUCUUGUGCGUAUAAGCGGAAACAUUUUUUUUUAACCAUAUGCUGCCAGGUUUAAUUUGAAGUUGCAUGUCGUAUUUCUGGGGGAUUUUCAAGAUUUUUCGCUUUCAAAAUUCUUCAAAACUUUAUAACUUCAUUAAUAUUGGACAUGUACAUGCACACCCGCACGAAUGAAUGUCUGGUCGCUACUCUAAUCUGACAGACAUCUAUUGAUGCCGACUAUUUCAGCCAGGCCUGCCGCCUUGUAGAGAGCCCAAAUGAUGUAGAGUUACGUAAUUUUCUUAUGUUCCCGAAACUGGCCCAGUGCACUGUUGGCGUCUUAUCAAAUGCAGACCAAAUUAGCAUGCAGCAGUAUUGUGUCACUCACCCCUGGAGUGCUUUUGUCCCUGGUGGUAAUCCACUUGGGCUAAA